rnacentral:lncRNA from 1 species
CAUGCCAUAUUAGUGUCUCCACACCUUUUGAUUAUGAGGACAACCAACACAUAUGCCAUACAAUGACCUACACUUGAUAUUACUGUUGUCCUAGUAAUAGCAUAUCAUUUGGUCGCGAACCAGUUUAAAGACUAUACAAUAAAUCUUCCUUUAUCGAUCAAAGUAGUCCUAAGGACUUCAUCAUAAUAUAAGAGUUCUUUAAAAGAUGUAAUCUUAUGAUGAAAAAGGUCAAAAAGACUUUUAUUAUUGAUUAAUUCAUAUACAUUUAUAAUUAGCAC